rnacentral:rRNA from 1 species
AAUGGGCGAAAGCCUGACCCAGCAACGCCGCGUGAAGGACGAAUCCCUCUGGGAUGUAAACUUCGAAAGUCGGGAAAGAAAUCCCCCGGGCGAAUACCUCGGGGGGAUGACGGUACCCGACGUAAGCCCCGGCUAACUACGUGCCAGCAGCCGCGGUAAUACGUAGGGGGCAAGCGUUGUUCGAAAUUACUGGGCGUAAAGGGCGCGUAGGCGGCACAGCAAGUCGGGAGUGAAAGCCCGGGGCUCAACCCCGGAACGGCUUUCGAAACUGCUGAGCUAGAGUGCGGAAGGGGCAACCGGAAUUCCCAGUGUAGCGGUGAAAUGCGUAGAUAUUGGGAAGAACACCUGAGGCGAAGGCGGGUUGCUGGGCCGACACUGACGCUGAGGCGCGAAAGCCAGGGGAGCAAACGGGAUUAGAUACCCCGGUAGUCCUGGCCCUAAACGAUGGAUACUUGGUGUGUGGGGUUCUCUGAGUCCCCGCGUGCCGGAGCUAACGCGGUAAGUAUCCCGCCUGGGGAGUACGGUCGCAAGGCUG